rnacentral:rRNA from 1 species
AUACGUAGGGGGCGAGCGUUGUCCGGAAUGAUUGGGCGUAAAGGGCGCGUAGGCGGCUUUGCAAGUCAGUAGUGGAAGUCCAUUUUUCAAGGAUGGAAGUGCUACAGAAACUGCGGAGCUUGAGUGCAGGAGAGGUUAUCGGAAUUCCCGGUGUAGCGGUGAAAUGCGUAGAGAUCGGGAGGAACACCAGUGGCGAAGGCGGGUAACUGGACUGCAACUGACGCUGAGGCGCGAAAGUGUGGGGAGCAAACAGGAUUAGAUACCCUGGUAGUCCACACUGUAAACGAUGAAUGCUAGGUGUAGGAGGUAUCGACCCCUUCUGUGCCGCAGUAAACACAGUAAGCAUUCCGCCUGGGUAGUACGGUCGCAAGAUUAAAACUCAAAGGAAUUGACGGGG